rnacentral:rRNA from 1 species
UAGGGAAUAUUGCUUAAUGGGCGCAAGCCUGAAGCAGCAACGCCGCGUGUGCGAUGAAGGCCUUCGGGUCGUAAAGCACUUUUUGGAGGGAUGAGGAAGGACAGUACCUCCAGAAUAAGCCUCGGCUAACUACGUGCCAGCAGCCGCGGUAACACGUAGGAGGCAAGCGUUAUUCGGAUUUACUGGGCGUAAAGCGCAUGUAGGCGGUCUGGAAAGUUGGAUGUGAAAGCUCCCGGCUUAACUGGGAGAGGUCGUUCAAAACUACCAGGCUAGAGGAUGGGGGAGGGAGGUGAAAUUCCGGGUGUAGUGGUGAAAUGCGUAGAUAUCCGGAGGAACACCAGUGGCGAAAGCGGCCUCCUGGCCCAAACCUGACGCUCAGAUGCGAAAGCUAGGGUAGCAAACG